GGAGAGGUCGCAUAGCGGUCUAGUGCAGCGGUUUGCUAAACCGCCGAGUGGGGUAACCUGCUCCGAGGGUUCGAAUCCCUCCCUCUCCG
rnacentral:tRNA from 1 species